rnacentral:rRNA from 1 species
UACGUAGGUGGCAAGCGUUGUCCGGAUUUAUUGGGCGUAAAGCGAGCGCAGGCGGUUCCUUAAGUCUGAUGUGAAAGCCCACGGCUCAACCGUGGAAGGUCAUUGGAAACUGGGGAACUUGAGUGCAGAAGAGGAGAGUGGAAUUCCAUGUGUAGCGGUGAAAUGCGUAGAUAUAUGGAGGAACACCGGUGGCGAAGGCGACUCUCUGGUCUGUAACUGACGCUGAGGCUCGAAAGCGUGGGGAGCAAACAGGAUUAGAUACCCGGGUA